AAAAUAUGGGUAGUAAACUUUACCUAAAAUUAGGUCGAAACUAAUUGCAAUAUUUGCUUCAUAUUU
rnacentral:tRNA from 1 species